GACGAACGCUGGCGGCGUGCCUAAUACAUGCAAGUCGAGCGAUGAAGAUUGGUGCUUGCCCCAAUCUGAAGAGCAGCGCACGGGUGAGUAACGCGUGGGGAAUCUGCCUUUGAGCGGGGGACAACAUUUGGAAACGAAUGCUAAUACCGCAUAAUAACCUUAAACAUAAGUUUUAAGUUUGAAAGAUGCAAUUGCAUCACUCAAAGAUGAUCCCGCGUUGUAUUAGCUAGUUGGUGAGGUAAAGGCUCACCAAGGCGAUGAUACAUAGCGGACCUGAGAGGGUGGUUAGCCACACUGGGACGGAGACACGGCACAAACGGACACAGGAGGCAGCAAGAGGGAAACGUCGGCAAGCGGCGGAAAACUGAGCGAGAUACGCCGCGGGAGGAUGGAGGGGUGUCGGGUCGUAGAAGUCGGUUGGUAGGGAGGAACGUUGGUGCGAGUGGAAAGCUCAGCAAGUGACGGUAACUGCACAGAAAGGGACGGCUAACUACGUG
rnacentral:rRNA from 1 species